rnacentral:rRNA from 1 species
AUUGAACGCUGGCGGCAGGCCUAACACAUGCAAGUCGAACGAGUGGCGGACGGGUGAGUCAUGUCUGGGACACUGCCCGUUGGCGGGGGAUAACUACUGGAAACGUUAGCUAAUACCGCAUACCAUCGGUUGUGCCCAGACGGGAUUAGCUAGUAGGUGGGGUAACGGCUCACCUAGGCGACGAUCCCUAGCUGGUCUGAGAGGUUGACCAGCCAGCCUGGACCUGAGACACGGUCCGUACUCCUACGGGGGGUGGCGUGGGGGCAGAUUGCACAGGGGGCGAAGUCCUGAUGCGGCCAUGCCGCGUGUAUAAAGAUGGCCUUCGGUUUGUAAAGUCCUUUGAGCGAGAAGGCGUUACUCGAAGAGAAAGCACCGGCUAACUCCGUGCCAGCAGCCGCGGUAAUAC